GACACGGUGCAGAGGGGAGGUGCCAAUGAGAUGACUUUGGGAGAUGAUGGCAUAUUGAGGUUGUAGGGGCGAGUUUGUGUUCCCAAUAUUUAUGGUAUUCGAGAGUCGAUCUUAGCGGAUGCCCACAGUUCUCGGUAUUCUAUUCACUCGGGCGCCGCGAAGAUCUAUCAGGAUUUGAAACAACAUUAUUGGUGGCAUAGAAUGAAGAAAGACAUUGUUGCAUAUGUGGCUCGUUGUCUAAAUUUUCAGCAGGUUAAGUACGAGCAUCAGAGGUCUGGUGGGUUAUUUCAGAGAAUUGAGCUUCCCAAGUGAAAGUAGGAGAGAAUCACCAUGGAUUUUGUUACUGGCUUUCCGAUGACUCGGAAGAAGUUUGAUGCUAUAUGGGUUACUGUUGAUAGGCUGACCAAGUCAGCGCAUUUUAUCCCANUUCCGAUGACUCGGAAGAAGUUUGAUGCUAUAUGGGUUAUUGUGGAUAGGCUGACUAAGUCAGCGCAUUUCAUCCCAGUUGCCACUACCUAUUCAUCUGACAGGUAUGCUGAGAUUUACAUAAGAGAGAUCGUUCGCCUUCAUGGGGUGUCCAUAUCUAUUAUUUCGGAUCUGGGUCCGCAGUUUACCUCGCAUUUUUGGAGGGCGGUGCAGCAUGAGUUAGGCACCCAGGUCCAGUUGAGUACAACAUUUCACCUCCAGACGGACAGUCAGUCCAAGAGGACCAUUCAGAUUCUUGAGGAUAUGCUCCGAGCCUACGUUAUUAACAUUGGAGGUUCGUGGGAUCAGUUCUUGCCGUUAGCGAAGUUUUCCUACAACAACAGCUACCAGUCCAGUAUUCAGAUGGCUCCAUAUGAGGCGAUGUAUGGCAAGCGAUGUCGGUCCCCAUUCGGAUGGUUUGAGCAGGGAGAGACUUGGUUAUUAGGUUCAGAUUUUGUGCAGGAGGCCUUGGAUAAGGUCAAGAUCAUUCAGGACAAACUUUGGUCAGCUCAGUCCAGGCAGAAUAGUGUUGGAGAUCGUAAGGUCAGGGAUGUUGCUUUAAUGGAUGGUGAGCGAGUGUUGCUCCGUGUAUCGCCUAUGAAGGGCGUGAUGAGAUUCGGGAAGAAUGGAAAGCUUAGCCCUAGGUAUAUUGGCCCGUUUGAGGUUCUGGACCGUAUGGGGAAUGUGGCUUAUAGACUUGCAUUGCCGCGUAGCUUGUCACCCGUGCAUCCGAUUUUUCAUGUAUCCAUGCUUCGGAACUAUCACGGUGAUCCCACCCACGUGUUAUAUUUCAGUACUAUCCAAUUGGACAAGGAUAUGUCAUACGAGGAGGAGACGGUGGCUAUUUUAGAUCGGAAGGUUCGACAGUUGAGGUCGCGGAGUUUUCCUUCAGUGCAGGUUCAGUGGAGAGGUCAGCCUCCUGAGGCAUCGACCUGGGAGUCCGAGUUUGAUAUGCGAAACCGUUAUCCCCAUCUAUUCCCCGACUUAGGUACUCCUUUCUUU
rnacentral:lncRNA from 1 species